rnacentral:rRNA from 1 species
UACAGAGGUCCCAAGCGUUGUUCGGAUUCAUUGGGCGUAAAGGGUGCGUAGGUGGCGCCGUAAGUGGGGGGUGAAAUUUCGGAGCUUAACUCCGAAACUGCAUUCCAUACUGCGGUGCUUGAGGACUGGAGAGGAGACUGGAAUUCAUGGUGUAGCAGUGAAAUGCGUAGAGAUCAUGAGGAAGACCAGUGGCGAAGGCGGGUCUCUGGACAGUUCCUGACACUGAGGCACGAAGGCCAGGGGAGCAAACGGG